UACGGAGGGGGCUAGCGUUGUUCGGAAUUACUGGGCGUAAAGCGCACGUAGGCGGCUUUGUAAGUUAGAGGUGAAAGCCCGGGGCUCAACUCCGGAAUUGCCUUUAAGACUGCAUCGCUAGAAUUGUGGAGAGGUAAGUGGAAUUCCGAGUGUAGAGGUGAAAUUCGUAGAUAUUCGGAAGAACACCAGUGGCGAAGGCGACUUUACUG
rnacentral:rRNA from 1 species